GUCCGCUGGAAAAAGGGAAGAAAGCCUCGGAUGGGCGUGAGUGCAACUUUCUAAAUGCAAUGCGCAGCGCUCAUUUCCCAAGGAUGAUUCUUACAAGGAGAAAAUCCAGAAACUAUCAAUUGGCUACCUUGAUCUGAUCCUCUUCAUGAAGAAGCUUGAACUUCUCCCUGCUUCACAGAUGGGUUAUGAGAUAGUCCUGAGAAGCUGCAUUCUAAGAAGCAUUAUGACCUGUCUUCUUAGAAACAACACGACAUCACUUUUAACACAUUCUUUUGGUCACAAGGAGAGGGAAUUACACACCACCUGGUUUUGGAUGCAUGCUUGAGGUGUGCUACUCUACUCACCAGACAUCUGAAACUACACCCAGAUCAUCUGAAAGUUAACAUGUUCCAGGUGAU